UGUGUGUGUUAGCAUGUUGAAAUGGCACGCCACCAGUUAUCCCGGUCCUUCCGGAUACUGCAGAGGUGGUUGACGAAUCUGUCGCCCAGUCGACGUUUAGUUUAUCCGAUGUAUGAGCAGGAGAGGCAGUAUACCACGUAUUUUGGAGAUUUUGACGAAAACGCCAUCUCUGGACAGUAUGAAUUCAGCAUCAAACAGCUCUUUGGCACAAAGCCAUUUCUGUCUUGGUCCAUUAAACCACUUUGUGCUCUGUCAUCUGUGAUGAAACUGGAUUUCCUGAUGUUAUACGCAAGAGGACAUCAUGAUGAAACGGAAGAUGGGUCUCACGCACAACAUUCACAUACAUUCUGGAGCGUAUUCGUCAUCAGUUGGAGAAAGAAACAAUUGCAGAAGACCCCGUAUCACCAGAGUGCAGAUUGGCAGUGCGUCUCUAUCGUCUUGGGAGAGGGGACUAUUACUUCACCAUAUCACAGCUGACCGGGAUAGGCCUCUCAACUAUUUCUGACAUCGUGUCAGAGGUUACACGGACAAUUGGGGAUGUCUUUUGGGAUGAAUGUGUCAGUAGAAAGUGUCCUCAAACCAAGGAAGAACUGAGAGAAAAAUGAUAAACAUGGAAGAGCUCUGGCAGUUUCCAUAUGCCUGGGCAGCCAUUGAUGGCUACCAUACACCAGUCAUGAGUCCUCCGGGUGGUCCAGCAUCAAAAAAGGAGUAUAUAUAUAUAAGUCUCAUAUUCUUUUUCCUUUUGAAAUCUUUUAAUUCCAGAUUUUGUUUUGUCAUACAGCCUUGCACUCUGCCACCAGUUUCUUGAAUUUUGACCGCAUUUGUUUUACAUCAAAUGUUAUCUCGUCAGCGCAUCUUUCUUGACAUCUCUUCUCUAAAGAGGCCAAUAUGUUUGUGUUUAUUACAGCAUUGGCUUUGUUCUCCGUAUUUUGACAGAUUAGCUUGUUUUGGUAGUGUUCGUUGUUAACCACAAUAUCUAUAAAGUCCUCAACGAUAUCUUGCUUCCACUCAGCUCUUCAGCCAGGUCUUCUUUUACGCUGUGAAUAAAGUCCAGUUGUUAUCUGUUCUUCAUCUUCUUCGUCGUCGUCUUCAAAAUCCUGUCAUGACAUCCCCAAAGAGAGAAACAAACGAAAUAUACAGAUAUUGUUUUAGUGCAUUGAUCAGCUCAAUGCAAAAGCCCACAUCCGUGUAGAAUUACAAAAUUAUACGAAAAAAUGUAUCUUUGACAUUAUCCAAUUUCAUUCUGCAGAAAAGUGCAAUUACAUUCAGAUAGUACAAAGGGAAAAUGGUUUGUCCAACACUGAGGCAUGGCAGAAUGACAAUUUUGUUGGCUUUGUUCUUAGCAAUGAAAAAAUAUGGAAAGAGUUCUAUAAAUGGACAAAACUUGAGGACAAACCUAUAAUACUUGUCUGAAAACUCUUUUUCUAAGUAAACACUUCGGAAUUUUUCCCCUAAAUUUCAUUUUGGGGACAUGCUAUUGUGGCAGAUCUAGAAAUGAGUUUGUUAUUAAAUACAUGUCUUUUCAUUGGA
rnacentral:lncRNA from 1 species